rnacentral:rRNA from 1 species
UACGUAGGGUGCAAGCGUUGUCCGGAAUUAUUGGGCGUAAAGAGCGUGUAGGCGGCCCGGUUAGUCCGCUGUGAAAGUCCAGGGCUCAACCCUGGAAUGCCGGUGGAUACUGUCGGGCUAGAGUCCGGAAGGGGCGAUUGGAAUUCCUGGUGUAGCGGUGAAAUGCGCAGAUAUCAGGAGGAACACCAAUGGCGAAGGCAGCUCGCUGGGACGUGACUGACGCUGAGACGCGAAAGCGUGGGGAGCAAACAGG